CCUGGAAGGAGGAGAGAUGACUAGAAAUGAUUGGGUUGAGCGUUUUGUGUGGAUUAAUGUUUAUAUCCCAGGACAAAUUAGCUAGCAACAGCAAGCUAGCUAAAUAGGACAAAUUAGCUAGCAAGUGCAAGCUAACUACCUAAAUUGCCAUACAUGUUUAAUGCUUUUCGACCUGUCUCCAAAUUAAUGUCAUUAGUUAAGAGUUUGUUUUGAUAUUUUAACCUGCAUGUCGUGAUCGCGUUUGGUGUAGGGGACAAAAUAAAUGUAUGCACGAUAGCGCACGCGCGCAGCCGGUGUGGGUUCCGUGUUAAGGGCAGAAGGACACAAUGCAACUAACGUUAUACAGACAGAGUGGGAGGAGAGGGAGGCAUUCCAUCACCAUCAUAACUGUAGUUUUUGUAUCUAAAAAAAACAAGUUCUACUCGUAAUCCUAUCUAAUUCGUUAGCGAGUUUGCUCAAUUUACAUAUAGCAUGUUAUUUAGCUCACUGUUGGACGGUAGCUACUUUGGGCGAGGGAUGCAGACCGAUUCUCCUCGGACGCGGUGGUAGAAGCGUUGCUGAGAGCCAAUUGGCUAUCGAACGGCCAAUGGCGUGAGACGUGGGUCUUGAUAGAUUGGGAGGUCACCGAAAUAAUAUUUCUGUUUGUGCGGUUACAAACGGAUUACGCUUCGAACAUACCGACUGGGUCAUUGCCACAGUGCUGCAUAACAUUUUGCGCAGCUAGGCAACUAUACCGAGGCAGGUAUAUUUUGCCAGACGGUCGAAUGCGGUUGGACACAUGGAGAGAAUCAUUUUUGCAGUAUCCUCAAAACCGGCUUUUUGACACAACUGCUGAAAGCUACAGGGACAUAAACACAAAAAAUGCUGCGUGUCCACGAUAGUAGGAUUGCCAGGAUGUGGCCGUGGAGACAAAUGAGGAGAGAAACAUGGAGAAAUGAAGAGGAACGUCCCCAGAUCCACUCAACUCAUUUCAGCAGAGGCUCCUCAAAGCCAUCGAGAGGAUGCAGCCCAACCUGAUCCUCACAUUAAGGAGGAUGAAGAGACCCUCUUUGCCAUGAGCCUGUUGCCAACCCUGAAGUGGCUGCCUCAGCAAAGAAAAGCACCAAUCAAGGUUAAAAUUCGUUAGCUGCGUUUUGAUGCAGAGUUCAAUGGUAAGUUUUUUUUCUUCUCCAUUACACAGGUAGUGUCAUAAGUAUUAUGUCAGUGAAGUAAAGUAGGUCAUUUCUUACAUUAUACUCAUGUACACUAAUUGAUAUUUCAGAUCAAAGGAUUAACUUGAGGAAAAUGUAUAGCUGUUUCUGGGUUAGAAAAUAUCCUAAAACAGUUUGCAGUCUAAAUAUUUGCCUGUUCAUAUUCAUUUGAUUUAAAAUACAAAUUCCAUGAGUAAACAGCAAGAAUUACCAACUUUACCACACUGUGCCAAUAUUUAUUCCACUAACUACACUAUACAAGUAGUAUUUAGUUAUCAUGAAUAUCACAUUUUAUGGUGUUAUUAUGUAAUGCUUAUGUGUUGUUUUUCUCUUCCCUUCCAGAGAGAGUUAAUUUAGCCGACCAGCACAUUCACUUUUCAUUUUUUCAGACACACACCACUCCUCUCUGUCCCUCAGAUCUCCAGUGCCCUGCCCUUUCUCUCUUUAUGGCCAUGUCUGAAGUUCCUUACUACGUCUAGGCUUUGAGUAGUCCCUGUAUCUGUCUGCAGCUGUGCCAAAAAUACCUGCUCUUUUUGUUCUCUUACAGGCUACACAUUAAUUGUUGUAUUUUUACAUGCGCACACACACACACACACACACACACAACUCUUUCAAUAGUUUUUAUUUUUUGUAACAGUUUUACAACACAUACCUGUCAUGUUCUUUCCUGGACUUCAAUACUUAUUAAAUUCUAAUGUUUUCAUAGUCAGUUUAAUUUGUUUAUUAAUAUCUCAUUUAGACUUAAUCUGCUUAUUUCUUCCCUACACCUUUUGCAGAUCUAACACAAGAUUAAAGUAAAAACACAUUUGCUUCCUAAUUAGUUUUUUCUCCACCUGCAUUUUGUCAGAGCAGUGAAUAUGUUGGUAAACUGUACUAUUUGUAUGGACCCAAGGUUAACUUUUCCCAUUAUCAUACUAACUGUAUGUCGUAUAACCUUAGAGGUCCUGCUCAUCUGAUGUACCAUGCCAGGUGUGUAUAAUACUGAUGUUAAUGGGAGAGGGAAGGGGUUAAGGUGUGGUCUUUACUCCCAAAUUUCACUUAAAUAUAACUUCCAAAUGAAGAGAAACAAUGAGACUUAAAGUAAUCUGGGGGAAAAAUGCAAUUUCAUGGACAGCGGUGGAUGGUUCUUAAAAUAACCUUGGUGUUAGGGGGUUCUUCAAAGAGCUGUUUCACUCCACGGCAUAUUGUCAUGGGACUUCACCUGCUGGUGAUGAAGUAGGUGGUCAGCUUCUCCCUCACCUGGAGUGCCUGUCUGGGGGUGUUGUUGGCACAUGCCCUGGUGACAUCAGGUAGGUGACCAUUUGGCGUGCCCGUCUCCACCCAGAGCGGCUCCUGGAAUGACCUCUGCAGGUAGUUGUGGAGAACACACGUGGUCUUUACGCAGGCAUCAACAUUUGAGGGGCUGAGACCAAGCACUCCCCGAUACAUUCUCCACCAGGCUGCCAGAAUCCCAAAGGUGCAUUCAACAACUAACCUUUACCUGGAUAGUCGUUUGUUAAAGAUCCUUGCAGACUUUGGCAAUGGCAGCUGGCUGUCCAGCUUGAAAUUCCACCCACAUAUUCUACCUACUCAUAUACCUACCUCAUUAGUUUAUGCUCAGCUAAUUAUAUUGUAAGAGUCAUCAACCAUCAUUUAAAAAUGCCUUGGAGCAGUACAAUUCAGUCUAUGGCUGUAUCAAACUGUAGCCCAGACCAACUCUACUCUUAGAAGAAAAGGUGCUAUCUAGAACCUAAAAGGGUUCUCUGGUUGUCCCCAUAGGAGAACCCUUUGAAGAAACUUUUUGGUUCCAUCUAUAACAUUUUCCCCAAAGGGUUCUACCUGGAACCAAAAAGGAUUAUCCUAUGGGGAAAGCAGGACACUUUUGGAACCCUUUUUUCUCAGAGUGUAAGUAAUUCCAAUAAGAAUUGAAUGAAUUACUGUCUUGAACAACAAGGGGUCCUGGAGAAGACUAGCCCACCUUCAACUUUAUUUUCAUUUGGUAACAUUGCAUCAUUAAAUUAUUUUAAACCAACUUUGGGAAAAGUUAUAAUCCUAAUGGACAUUCUGUGAAAGUAAAUCUGUCACAUAUGGGCUAUUAACUGGAGCCCUUUAGCUAGCUAGGUUUCACAUAAAAUAUAUCUAAUAUAAAUCAAUUACGGUAUCAAAGCCAUUAAAAAUGUACUCAAAUGUCGCUUACCGGAGACAAAUCGCCAGGCGUUUAACUGGGCUGAUGGACUCCCAGUAGUUGGUAUCCAUCCGGGCGAUCCUGGCUCCAACCAUCGAAAGUAACUUCGAAAUUCUUCUCCAAACAGUUGAAGAUCUUGAAUUAGACGGUGGAACUCCCCUCCAUGCUUUCGGGACUUCAACCAUCUCUAGACCCACACAGACCUGCGCUUUCGGCAGGGCUGGUCCCUUACACCCGCCCAACAGCGCGACCAAGACCACCUUCAUCACCGUUUGGUGUCAUUGUUGAAAGAGCCUACUCUCUGCUAUCUUGACUAUUAUUGCAUUUCGCUCCAAAACUGCAUUUUGGAGGGAAAUUAUAUUAUAGGCUCGCACAAUUAAUUUUUAGAUGUCAUCGAAUAAAUAUGUAUGCUAGUUGGC
ensembl:lncRNA